rnacentral:rRNA from 1 species
AGAGUUUGAUCCUGGCUCAGAACGAACGCUGGCGGCAGGCUUAACACAUGCAAGUCGAACGGACGUAGCAAUACGUCAGUGGCAGACGGGUGAGGAACACGUGGGAAUAUCCCCUUCAGUUCGGAAUAACUCAGGGAAACUUGAGCUAAUACCGGAUACGUCAGAGAUGAGAAAGAUUUAUCGCUGAAGGAUUAGCCCGCGUCUGAUUAGCUAGUUGGUGAGGUAAUGGCUCACCAAGGCGACGAUCAGUAGCUGGUCUGAGAGGAUGAUCAGCCACAUUGGGACUGAGACACGGCCCAAACUCCUACGGGAGGCAGCAGUGGGGAAUAUUGGACAAUGGGCGAAAGCCUGAUCCAGCCAUGCCGCGUGAGUGAUGAAGGCCUUCGGGUCGUAAAGCUCUUUUGUCCGGGAAGAUAAUGACUGUACCGGAAGAAUAAGCCCCGGCAAACUUCGUGCCAGCAGCCGCGGUAAUACGAAGGGGGCUAGCGUUGUUCGGAAUCACUGGGCGUAAAGCGCACGUAGGCGGCUUGUUAAGUCAGGGGUGAAAGCCUGGAGCUCAACUCCAGAACUGCCCUUGAUACUGGCAAGCUUGAGUGUGGAAGAGGUUGGUGGAACUCCGAGUGUAGAGGUGAAAUUCGUAGAUAUUCGGAAGAACACCAGUGGCGAAGGCGGCCAACUGGUCCAUUACUGACGCUGAGGUGCGAAAGCGCGGGGAGCAAACAGGAUUAGAUACCCUGGUAGUCCACGCCGUAAACGAUGGAUGCUAGCCGUCAGGGAGCUUGCUCUUUGGUGGCGCAGCUAACGCGCUAAGCAUCCCGCCUGGGGAGUACGGUCGCAAGAUUAAAACUCAAAGGAAUUGACGGG